rnacentral:rRNA from 1 species
CCUACGGGUGGCAGCAGUGAGGAAUAUUGGUCAAUGGACGCAAGUCUGAACCAGCCAUGCAGCGUGCAGGAAGACGGCUCUAUGAGUUGUAAACUGCUUUUGUACGAGAGUAAACGCAGAUACGUGUACCUUUCUGAAAGUAUCGUAUGAAUAAGGAUCGGCUAACUCCGUGCCAGCAGCCGCGGUAAUACGGAGGAUCCGAGCGUUAUCCGGAUUUAUUGGGUUUAAAGGGAGCGUAGGUGGGAAGUUAAGUCAGCUGUCAAAAUUUGGGGCUCAACCGCAUGAUUGCCUUUGAUACUGGUAUUCUUGAGUGAACGAGAGGUAGGCGGAAUGCGUGGUGUAGCGGUGAAAUGCAUAGAUAUCACGCAGAACUCCGAUUGCGAAGGCAGCUUAC